rnacentral:misc_RNA from 1 species
GAUGAAGAACGUAGCGAAAUGCGAUAAGUAGUGUGAAUUGCAGAAUUCAGUGAAUCAUCGAAUCUUUGAACGCACAUUGCGCCCCUUGGUAUUCCAUGGGGCAUGCCUGUUCGAGCGUCAUUUGUACCUUCAAGCUCUGCUUGGUGUUGGGUGUUUGUCUCGCCUCUGCGUGUAGACUCGCCUCAAAACAAUUGGCAGCCGGCGUAUUGAUUUCGGAGCGCAGUACAUCUUGCGCUUUGCACUCAUAACGACGACGUCCAAAAGUACAUUUUUACACUCUUGACCUCGGAUCAGGUAGGGAUACCCGCUGAACUUAAGCAUAUCAAUAAGCGGAGGA